rnacentral:rRNA from 1 species
GAGGAAAGCGAGCGGUAGGCCUAACACAUGCAAGCCGAGCGGUAUUUGUUCUUCGGAACAGAGAGAGCGGCGCACGGGUGCGGAACACGUGUGCAACCUGCCUUUAUCUGGGGGAUAGCCUUUCGAAAGGAAGAUUAAUACCCCAUAAUAUAUUGAGUGGCAUCAUUUGAUAUUGAAAACUCCGGUGGAUAGAGAUGGGCACGCGCAAGAUUAGAUAGUUGGUGAGGUAACGGCUCACCAAGUCAAUGAUCUUUAGGGGCCUGAGAGGGUGAUCCCCCACACUGGUACUGAGACACGGACCAGACUCCUACGGGAGGCAGCAGUGAGGAAUAUUGGACAAUGGGUUAGCGCCUGAUCCAGCCAUCCCGCGUGAAGGACGACGGCCCUAUGGGUUGUAAACUUCUUUUGUAUAGGGAUAAACCUACUCUCGUGAGAGUAGCUGAAGGUACUAUACGAAUAAGCACCGGCUAACUCCGUG